AGGCGGAGCGGGUCGCGCCGCAGACGGAGCCGCAUAGGACGGAAUCCGGGCGGGCGGAGCCGAUGCGGGAAGCCGCGCGCGCCGACACCCCGGCGACCUUCGCCCCGGAGGAUGUGAGCGCGCCGCUGGACCCGCGCUUCACCUUCGAGAAUUUCAUCAUCGGCAAAUCGAACGAGCUCGCCCAUGCCGCAGCGCAGCGCGUUGCCGAGGCACGCGCCGUGCCCUUCAACCCGCUCUUCCUCUAUGGCGGGGUGGGGCUGGGCAAGACCCAUCUGAUGCAUGCCGUCGCCUG
rnacentral:misc_RNA from 1 species